rnacentral:rRNA from 1 species
CCUACGGGGGGCUGCAGUUGGGAAUCUUGCACAAUGGGGGAAACCCUGAUGCAGCGACGCCGCGUGGAGGAAGAAGGGUCUAGGCUCGUAAACUCAUUUUUCAGGGAAAGACUUAGGACGGUACCCUGAGAAUAAGCUCCGGCUAACUACGUGCCAGCAGCCGCGGUAAGACGGAGGGAGCGAGCGUUGUCCGGAUUUACUGGGCGUAAAGAGCACGUAGGCGGGCGGUUAAGUGAGAAGUGAAAUCUCCCGCGCUCCACGCGGAAACGGCUUUUCAUACUGGCAGACUUGAGGGAUGCAGAGGCAAGUAGAAUUCCUGGUGUACCGGUGACAUGGGUUGCUAUCAGGAGGAAUACCAAUGGCGAAGGCAGCUUGCUGGGCAUCAUCUGACGCUGAGGUGCGAAAGCGUGGGUAGCAAACAGGAUUAGAUACCCUAGUAGUC